rnacentral:lncRNA from 1 species
AUUUUAAAGCUAAUUUAUUAAGCCAAAGUAGGAAUUUUUAAUAAUUUUACUAGCCACAAAAAUAUAUGAAGCCAAUCCACAGAAAAGGGACUGAAAGAGGGAACAACUCUUGAGAGCCUUCCUGGGAAGCCUUUGGGGUCGCUCCAUUCCGUGCUGUGGAUCAUUCCGGGAUUCCGUUCCUGCUGGCCGUUUCGCAGGUGUGUUUUUGUCUCAGACUCCAGUAGACCUAAGCAACAAACGGCCCAGUUAGUGCAGAGAACGGAGACAAGGGAGGAGCGGUGAGCACGGCGCCCGCGGUGAGGCUUGCACUGUGGGGCGUGAGCCGGUGGAAAUUCAACUAGGGAAUAGACUGCAAAAGGUCUUGGGGCAGCCAAGAGUCGGUGAGUGGUUCCUGAAUGGCCAGUUUCUCUUCCUGUCCCCAUUCCUACGUCUGAAGUUCCAGUUCUUGCAUAAAGCUCCAUGAAGACAGAAAGACGGUAACUACGAUGACUGCUCUUCACUGGAUCCUCAGCCCCUUCCACAGAGCCUGUAACGGGACAAGGAUCUACUAAGUCUUUGUUUUUGAAUCAUUUGCUUGUGGGGGAAGCCAGCUGCCAUGUUGUGAAGACAUUCAAGCAGCCUUUAUGAAGUGGUUCACAUGGCAGAGAACUGAGGGCUCCUGCCGGCAGCCAGCGUCAACUUUCUGGCCAUGUGGCUGAGCCAUCUUGGAAGCAGAUCCUUCAGCCUGGUGAGGCUUUGGGAGGACUCCAGCCCUGGCCAACAGCUUGACUGCAACUGUAUGAGAGACCCCAAGACAGAACCACCCAGCUAAGCUGCUCCCGAAUACAUGACCCACAUAAAUUGUAUGAGAUGAUAAAUGCUUGUUGUUGUUUUAAACCACUAAGUUUUGGGGUAAUUUGUUAUGCAGCAAUAGAUAACUAAUACAGCUCCCAAAGUUCCUAUAACUGAGUUUCUCGGGAUAAGGUCACAUGGCAGGGGUCAGGCUGGAAAACUUCCCAAAGUGCCAGACCAUCAGGUCAUGAUGACUGACUGGUGCUGUAUCCUCCUCCCGGCUUCAAGGACUCUGAAAACGGAAGUUUCUUAGGCGGCCACAGGGCCAAUGGCCAGGUGUCUUCAGGAGUACAUUACAGCAAACACAAGAGGUGCAGAAAGCAAGAAUUUUCUCCAGAUCUUAGAAAAAUGGGCUUUUGUGUUUGAGCUCAUCAAAGCCUGACACCUUCUCCAACCCAGUUUGCAAACUGUUUUGAGGCCCAUACUAGGCUUAUUUUUGCCUUCCUACUUGCCUGUGUCUGAGGGAUGCUUUGAGGUCAGAUCAUCUUUUUUCAUCCCCAUGGAUAAGACACAAACACCCGCAAAGCUGACUCACAAAAGGAGACUGACCAGUGCAUUGUGGGAGCUGGAGGCAGGAUCCUAAGACCACAAGAUUUUUCACACCCAAGUUUUGUAUUUGAAAUUCAAGAAUGGGACACAUUAAGUUAUAACGGAAUGAGCAUGGUUUUUGCGCUGUAUAA